AAACAUGUUUAUUAUUCAAAGGUGUUUGAGACACAGCUCCUCCUCUCUCAGCACACACACCGUCCUGUUUACCAUCAUCAGCUCCACCUGCAGAGAGAAGGAGGAAGAGCAGAGGAGAUAAACGAGUGUUUCCAGAGACUCUUCAUCAGCUGUCAGUCAGUGAUCAAUCAAUCAAUCUUUAUUUAUAAAGCACUUUUCAUACAGAAAUGUAGCACAAAGUGCUUUACAUGGUUAAAAGCAGCCCACCCCACCCUCCAACUCACUCCCCACACUCUCAUUAACAUAAACGAUCAUGGAUACAUACACACACACACACACACACACAGACACAGACACACACACACACACACACACACACACACACACUUAAAGAGUAAAAUUGGGCUGGGCACACAUGAGCCAGAUGAGGAAACAGUAGCACAGGGAGCUGUCUGCACCGGGAGCCGGUCACACACUGCAGCCACCAGGCUGGGCACACAGCAGGAGGGAGGCAAAGAAGCCCCCCAGCCAGGCUGAGAAGACCCACAGAGCCACAGCAGCCACGGUCGAUCACAGCCCAGGUGCAGAGAGCAAUCAGGCUGCUUGUUUGUCUGAGCGUGCCUGUGAGUUUGGUACGUGAGCACGCGUCCAUGUUUGUGAUCAGCGCAGGAGAGAAGGCGCUGCCGUAAAGCAGAGUGUAGAAGCGCAAGAAAACCUGUGCGGCAGACGAGAAGCGGCUGUCUCCACCGCGGCUCACAGUGACGGCUCACAGUGACGGCUCACAGUGACGGCUCAUGAGUGUUCAGUCACCCUGCAGGGAUCUGUGAUUACUCUCAGAGAAAACCAAUCAUAAUACAGACACUUUUCUUUCUCCCUGCUGGAGGUUGGCUGGAGGUCUUUACUGUCCAACAGCUGAGCUGGACAGAAACAAUCACAGGUUUCCCUGACUGAAGGUCACCAUGCUCACCUGUGAUCAGCGUGGGAGGAGUUUCAGGCCUUCAGACAGACGGCUGCAGUGCUGCACCGACGUUGUUGGUCCUGAGUCAUGGGGACAGCAAACGACUUGUCAAAGCAUCUGCAGAAGAAAGCUGAACUUUAUUAAGCAGGAAAAGGACAUAAAAGCACUAGAUGUGAGUAAAGAGCUGCUCCUCGGCCCCAUCAUCCUGUGUGAGGUCUGAGGUCUGGUCCU
rnacentral:lncRNA from 1 species